AUUGAACGCUGGCGGCAGGCUUAACACAUGCAAGUCGAGCGGGGUGAUGGUGCUUGCACUAUCACUUAGCGGCGGACGGGUGAGUAAUGCUUAGGAAUCUGCCUAUUAGUGGAGGACAACAUCUCGAAAGGGAUGCUAAUACCGCAUACGUCCUACGGGAGAAAGCAGGGGAUCACUUGUGACCUUGCGCUAAUAGAUGAGCCUAAGUCGGAUUAGCUAGUUGGUGGGGUAAAGGCCUACCAAGGCGACGAUCUGUAGCGGGUCUGAGAGGAUGAUCCGCCACACUGGGACGGAGACACGGACCAGACUCCUACGGGAGGCAGCAGUGGGGAAUAUUGGACCAUGGGGGGAACCCUGAUCCAGCCAUGCCGCGUGUGUGAAGAAGGCCUUAUGGUUGUAAAGCACUUUAAGCGAGGAGGAGGCUCUUUUGGUUAAUACCCAAGAUGAGUGGACGUUACUCGCAGAAUAAGCACCGGCUAACUCUGUGCCAGCCGCCGCCGUAA
rnacentral:rRNA from 1 species